GUACGAUGAUGGGGACAUUUCUGGAUGAGGUCCUUUAGUCUUUCCCAUGACUCAUGGAACUACUCACCAUCUUGCUGCGAAAAGCUAGUGAGAGCUCGCCUUAUCUGGUU
rfam:Cephalotus follicularis DNA, scaffold: scaffold2526, isolate: St1.